GAUGAUGUAGCUCAGUGGUAGAGCACUUGUCUAGUAUGCAUAAGACCCUGGGUUUAAUCCCCAAUACCACA
rnacentral:tRNA from 1 species